rnacentral:rRNA from 1 species
ACAUGUCUUUUAGAAAUUAAUUUAAAGUCUAGCCUGCCCACUGAAAUUUUUUAAAUGGCCGCAGUAUCCUAACUGUGCAAAGGUAGCAUAAUCAUUAGUCUUUUAAUUGAAGGCUGGAAUGAAUGGUUGGAUGAAAUAUUAACUGUUUCAUAAAAAUUUACAGUAGAAUUUUAUUUUUUAGUCAAAAAGCUAAAAUAUAAUUAAAAGACGAGAAGACCCUAUAAAUCUUUAUAUUUUAAAAAUUACAAUUAUAUAGAUAAAUUAAAUUUUAAUUUUCAGAAAUAUUUUAUUGGGGUGAUAUUAAAAUUUGAUAAACUUUUAAUUUAUUAUUAACAUAAAUUAAUGAAUUUUUGAUCCAUAUAUUAUGAUUAAAAAAUUAAGUUACUUUAGGGAUAACAGCGUAAUUUUUUUAGAGAGUUCAUAUUGAUAAAAAAGAUUGCGACCUCGAUGUUGGAUUAAGAUGCAGUUUUAGGUGCAGCAGCUUAAACUUAAAGUCUGUUCGACUUUUAAAUUCUUACAU